AUUCACAAACCCGCGGGCGCGCGCAUAUAUAGGACUGCACGGGCGAAUUCGCGCCAUUCUCUAACCGCCGCGCCGUCGGUCAACGCGUGGUCAUGUUGGAUGCGAUGUGAACAUUACGAUUAACAAUAACUCAUGUAGUAUUAAUUUACAAACAUUCUGUGAACUGUGGAUUUAUUGUGAUGCACUAUUAAAACUUUCACGGGAUGGCUUUAGGUGAUACGGGUUUUGUCUCUCAGAGACUUGUCGUGCUAUGCACUAAAGUGCGAGGUCGACGCGCCGGUGUAGCGUGUGUCGGUGGCGCCGCACGCACACUCGCGCACACACCU
rnacentral:misc_RNA from 1 species